CGGGAAAACCCCUUUACCAACCCUAGCGUCGCUCCGCUAUUGUUCCCCUUUCUGGUUCAGCUUGGUGUUCUGUCUCCGCUCAUCUAAUCUUCACUCUACAUUCACGUUAUUGAUCCAUUACAUAAUCACAAUUACCCCUAACUAUUUCUUCAAUCCUCGACUUCGAAAACCAUCUUCUACGUUGCUAGUUUGUCGUGGAAGUAUUUAAUCAUGGUCGGUACCUCUUGUUAGUCGUCAGUAAUACAGUAGUGUGACUGAUAUGGGUUAUAUGCAGUCUGUAACAGGCUAACAUAUAUGACGACAUUAUUACUGACAAGUGAUAACCUGACCGCCACGAGGACUAAUACUGACGGUCAGGCCGCCAAUACUAUCCUCCGAAA
rnacentral:lncRNA from 1 species